UAACAAAUUAACUUAUCUGAAACAAGGUGUCUUCAAUGGUUUGAAAAAUCUUGAAACGUUAAAUCUGGAAAAUAAUGAGCUAAGGACCUACAAUCCUGAUAUAUUUGAUGGACUCACUUCCCUUAAAACUUUAUUAUCGGAUGAGUUCAGCAUCUGCUGCAUUAUGAAACGUGUUCCCGACUGCCGUCCGACUACUGAUCAAUUUUCAUCUUGUAAAGAUCUCUUGAAGAGGGAAGCUUUGCGGAUCCUGAUGAUGAUUCUUGGAAUUACU